rnacentral:tRNA from 1 species
UUCUGGUUAGCUAUGUUGCUAGAGCGCUCCACCAGAAAUGGAGAGGUCCCGGGUUCGACACCAGGACCAGGCG